rnacentral:rRNA from 1 species
UACAGAGGGUGCAAGCGUUAAUCGGAAUUACUGGGCGUAAAGCGUGCGUAGUCGGCUUUUUAAGUCGGGUGUGAAAUCCCCGGGCUCAACCUGGGAAUUGCAUUCGAUACUGGAUCGCUAGAGUUCGGCAGAGGGAAGCGGAAUUUCGGGUGUAGCGGUGAAAUGCGCAGAUAUCAGGAAGAACACCCGUGGCGAAAGCGGCUCUCUGGAACGGUACUGACGCUGAGACGCGAAAGCGUGGGGAGCGAACAGG